CAGAAUCUUCGCAAAUGUCAGUACCACUUCUACGCUGAUGACACUAAGUUUUUAAUGCUAGGAUUGGCCAAGAUUCAAUGGGUCUUCAUGAAAGAUUCAGAUAUGAUUCUCCAAGAUAACGGAAACUUCGAUGAGCAUACCCAGUUGAAGUUGAUGGAGGAUGGGGCGAAUGGACAUCCUGGGGGAAUGUUCUGGUACAUGCGGAACAACAACGAUGUCCAGAAAUCGAGAAUGUUCCAACCCUCCAAUGAAGCACAACGGCAAGCCGUGUCCAGGACAAAUGAAGGAGUUUCAACAAUGUGAAUUUCUUGGUCCCUGUCCAAUUCAUGGAGCAUGGACAGAUUGGUCUUCUUGGACCCCCUGCACAAAACCUUGCGAUUCUGGAUUGCAAUCAAGAAAUCGGUCUUGUUCCAACCCUGUCCCUGCAUUCAACGGCAGAACCUGCCAAGGUACCGCCAAUUCGACACAAGCUUGUGCCACCGAUCCCUGUCCAAUUGAUGGUGCCUGGACCACAUGGAGCGUCUGGUCCUCAUGUACCGCCACUUGCGGACCCAGUAAUCAAGCCCGAACGAGAGUUGCACCAAUCCCGAGCCCC